UGGAUAUCUGCCUUUUGGUUCGGAAUAACCCCGGGAAACUGGGGCUAAUACCGGAUGGUUCCUUCGGGAUAAGGAUUUAUCGCCAAAAGAUGAGUCCGCGUCCGAUUAGCUAGUUGGUGAGGUAAUGGCUCACCAAGGCGACGAUCGGUAGCUGGUCUGAGAGGACGAUCAGCCACACUGGGACUGAGACACGGCCCAGACUCCUACGGGAGGCAG
rnacentral:rRNA from 1 species